rnacentral:lncRNA from 1 species
CUCAUUCAAAUAUAUAUAUUCAUAUAUACAUCUAUGCAUGUACAUAUGUACUUAAGUAUGUACACUUGUAACAGACAAAAGUAUUUAGGUAUUUAGGUAUUUAGGUAUUAUGCACCUCUCCAUCGAUAGUAGUCGGGAUUAAAUUAAACCACAAGAAACCAUUUAAAAAACUAUUUAUGAACAGUUUUAAGACCAGAGUACAGGGUAUUUUUGAGUCCGGUUGUCAACUGUAGCAGCGUCUUUUGUUUUUAUCUGCUCUGACGCCUGUUGAUGGGGCGUCACUUGAGCAACCGUGAUCCACCUUGAGGCUGAGACAUGUCGGGUAGUUUAUCUUUCAGAACAACAAACCUUACGAACUAAAAGAAACUGCUCAUAUGAUUUUAUGUACGUAUGUAUGUACGUAUAGGAGGAACAUGUAAGUUUGUAUGGAUGUCAGACUCACACAAAAAUAUCCCUACACAAAGGAGUGAGCACUUUUAGUAUACUUAGGCUGAACCCCAGGCGAAGGCUUGCCGACACUCCUUAUAUCCUGUUCUUUGCCUCGACGGAGUGUCGUGCGUCUUUUCGGCAUAUCCUCUUUUCGUUGUGGCCCCUUGCGUCUCGUGCGACAAACCUUCCACUACCACUUCCACAUCCAUUUCCUGGCUUGCCACACGUGCGGCUGCGGUUAGUUUUCUGUCUCUGGAUGACGCCACGGCGUCGCUGUCCCGUCGCCGCCUCUAAGUAACCCAAGGUGUCUAUACGAGUACUUCGGGUGUGUGGUGCAAUGCCCAACUGACUGCGGGGGACAGGGAGUGCAGUGCGGUCUCUUUGUCGCCCCAGCAAAUGCGGUUGCACAUUGACGGAACAGAUUGGUUUCGAUGUGGUUUGGUUCGCGCUGGUCUCGUUUCGUCUGUGCUGUCGGAGUUGUGUGGACAGUGGAGGUGAGUUUAGGGAUUCAAAAGAAAUUGCACUAGGUACACAACUAUUGUAAUUUACUUACAUAAUUUGCUUUUUCAAAUGAAAGUUUUUGGCUGGAAAAUGCAUUCAUUCAAAUGUUUCACCAGAGAAGUGCACCAUGCGCAUAUUUAAAAGGAAAAAUGUUGUAUUCAACAUUUUGAAGCAAUAUUUUCGACAGAAACACUGCACUCCUAUCAGAAAUUGGCAUGCCGGUGCAGCUCCUAUUUCCUGUGUCCAUUAAUUCUACAUUUAUCUGAAAGUCACAGAAUGCUUACAAAAUCAGUAUCAGGAUCGGAAAAUCAGCGUCUAGGGUAUGCUGUAUUUUCCUGCCGUGAUAGCCAUGUAGGUGAUUCGUUAGAGAGGGAUCUGUGUAUUAUAAUCAUUCUGCCUGGAGAAGAAUAAUCCCCAGCUGGGCCCC